AUUGAACGCUGGCGGCAGGCCUAACACAUGCAAGUCGGACGAGCGGCGGACGGGUGAGUAAUGCCUGGGCAUCUGGCUUAUGGAGGGGGAUAACUACUGGACACGGUAGCUAAUACCGCGUACCAUCGGAUGAGCCCAUAUGGGAUUAGCUAGUAGGUAAGGUAACGGCUGACCUAGCCGACGAUCCCUAGCUGGUCUGAGAGGAUGACCAGCCACACUGGGACUGAUACACGGCCCAGACUCCUACGGAAGGCAGCAGUGUGGAAUAUUGCGCAAUGGGGGCAAGCCUGACGCAGCCAUGCCGCUUGAAUGAAGAAGGCCUUCGGGUUGUAAAGUACUUUCGGUGAAGCGGCGUUACCGGCAGAAGAAGCACCGGCUAACUCCGUGCCAGCAGCCGCGGUAAUAC
rnacentral:rRNA from 1 species